GGAGUUUGGACCGUGUCUCAGUUCCAAUGUGGGGGACCUUCCUUUCAGAACCCCUACUGAUCGUCGGCUAGGUGGGCCCUUGCCCCGCCUACUACCUAAUCAGACGCAUCCCCAUCCCUUACCGAUGAAUCUUUGCUCCUCGUUAGAUGCCUGCAAAGGAGAACAUAGAGUAUUAAUCCGACUUUCGCCGGGCUAUCCUCUAGUAAGGGGAAGGUUGGAUACGCGUUACUCACCCGUGCGCCGGUCGCCAUCAAAGGAAGCAAGCUUCCUUCAUGCUGCCCCACCGACUUGCAUGUGUUAAGCCUGUAGCUAGCGUUCAUC
rnacentral:rRNA from 1 species